rnacentral:rRNA from 1 species
UCGCCUAGGGACGCAGCAGUGAGGAAUAUUGGUCAAUGGCCGGAAGGCUGAACCAGCCAAGCCGCGUGAAGGACGAAGGUGCCAAGCAUUGUAAACUUCUUUUGUCAAGGGACAAAAUCAGGCUCGAGAGCCUGACCGAGGGUACUUGAAGAAAAAGCAUCGGCUAACUCCGUGCCAGCAGCCGCGGUAAUACGGAGGAUGCGAGCGUUAUCCGGAUUUAUUGGGUUUAAAGGGUGCGUAGGCGGAAUAUCAAGUCAGCGGUAAAAAUUCGGGGCUCAAACCCGUCGUGCAGUUGAAACUGAUGU